rnacentral:rRNA from 1 species
UACGGAGGGUGCAAACGUUGCUCGGAAUCAUUGGGCGUAAAGCGCACGUAGGCGGACCGCUAAGUCGGAUGUGAAAGCCCUCGGCUUAACCGAGGAAGUGCAUUCGAAACUGACGGUCUUGAGUAUGGAAGAGGGUCGCGGAAUUCCCGGUGUAGAGGUGAAAUUCGUAGAUAUCGGGAGGAACACCAGUGGCGAAGGCGGCGACCUGGGCCAAUACUGACGCUGAGGUGCGAAAGCGUGGAGAGCAAACAGG